UGCGUAGGGGGCAAGCGUUGUCCGGAAUCAUUGGGCGUAAAGAGCGUGUAGGCGGCCCGGUAAGUCCGCUGUGAAAGUCCAGGGCUCAACCCUGGGAUGCCGGUGGAUACUGUCGGGCUCGAGUCCGGAAGAGGAGUGUGGAAUUCCUGGUGUAGCGGUGAAAUGCGCAGAUAUCAAGAGGAACACCUGAGGUGAAGACGGGUUGCUGGGCUGACACUGACGCUGAUGCGCGAAAGCCAGGGGAGCAAACGGG
rnacentral:rRNA from 1 species